AUAGGAGACUCAGAGCUGCAUAUCAAUAAGCGGAGGAAAAGAAACUAACAAGGAUUCCCUUAGUAACGGCGAGUGAAGCGGGAAGAGCUCAAAUUUGAAAUCUUCAAGGUUUUACCUUGACGAAUUGUAGUUUAAAGAAGUGUUUUCUGUUAGAUGAGUAGGCAAAAGUUCCUUGGAAUAGGGACAUCAUAGAGGGUGAGAAUCCCGUAUUUGGUUAUUCAUUCUAGCUUUGUGAUACACUUUCAAAGAGUCGGGUUGUUUGGGAAUGCAGUCCAAAAUGGGUGGUAAAUUUCAUCUAAAGCUAAAUAUUGGCGAGAGACCGAUAGCGAACAAGUACCGUGAGGGAAAGAUGAAAAGAACUUUGAAAAGAGAGUUAAACAGUACGUGAAAUUGUCAAAAGGGAAGCGUUUGACACCAGUGUUGUUUAGUUGAAAAUCAAUUCAAUAGUUUUUGAUUUUAAGUAGUAUUGACUUCAUCAGCUUGCUGCUUUUUUCUCUGAAAUUAUUGAAUGCACUUUUCAGUUAACAAGUCAACAUCAGUUUCUUUUGUUGUAAAAAGGUGAGAGGAAGGUGGCUUGCGCUUCGGCUCAAGUGUUUAUAGCCUUUUACCCCUGCAAUCGAAGAGACUGAGGUCUGCAGCGUAGAUCCUUCGGGGUUAGAUACAUUUGUGCUAAGUUGUAGCUUUUCAUAGACAACUUGUUGACUAUGUUUAGUCAUGCGGCUUACUCGCUUAUGCUAUUUUACCUACGCUUAGGAUGUUGAAGUCAUCGUAUCGCGC
rnacentral:rRNA from 1 species